rnacentral:rRNA from 1 species
AGUGAACGCUGGCGGUAGGCCUAACACAUGCAAGUCGAACGGCAGCACAGUAAGAGCUUGCUCUUACGGGUGGCGAGUGGCGGACGGGUGAGGAAUACAUCGGAAUCUACUUUUUCGUGGGGGAUAACGUAGGGAAACUUACGCUAAUACCGCAUACGACCUACGGGUUAAAGCAGUGGAUCUUCGGACCUUUCGCGAUUGAAUGAGCCGAUGUCGGAUUAGCUAGUUGGCGGGGUAAAGGCCCACCAAGGCGACGAUCCGUAGCUGGUCUGAGAGGAUGAUCAGCCACACUGGAACUGAGACACGGUCCAGACUCCUACGGGAGGCAGCAGUGGGGAAUAUUAGACAAUGGGCGCAAGCCUGAUCCAGCCAUACCGCGUGGGUGAAGAAGGCCUUCGGGUUGUAAAGCCCUUUUGUUGGGAAAGAAAAGCAGCAGGUUAAUACCCCGCUGUUCUGACGGUACCCAAAGAAUAAGCACCGGCUAACUUCGUG